UACGUAGGGUGCAAGCGUUAAUCGGAAUUACUGGGCGUAAAGCGUGCGCAGGCGGUUGUGCAAGACCGAUGUGAAAUCCCCGGGCUUAACCUGGGAAUGGCAUUGGUGACUGCACGGCUAGAGUGUGUCAGAGGGGGGUAGAAUUCCACGUGUAGCAGUGAAAUGCGUAGAGAUGUGGGAGGAAUACCGAUGGCGAAGGCAGCCCCCUGGGAUAACACUGACGCUCAUGC
rnacentral:rRNA from 1 species